GAGUUUGAUCCUGGCUCAGGAUGAACGCUGGCGGCAUGCCUAAUACAUGCAAGUCGAACGAGGGUCCUUCGGGACUCGAGUGGCGAACGGGUGAGUAACACGUAGGGAACCUGCCCGUGCGACCGGGAGAACUUUCGGAAACGGAAGCUGAUACCGGAUAGGGACAGAGACGGCAUCGACUCUGUGUUAAAGGAGCUGAAAGGCUCCGCGCACGGAUGGACCUGCGGUGCAUUAGCUAGUUGGUGAGGUAACGGCCCACCAAGGCGACGAUGCAUAGCCGGCCUGAGAGGGCGGACGGCCACACUGGGACUGAGACACGGCCCAGACUCCUACGGGAGGCAGCAGUAGGGAAUUUUCGUCAAUGGGCGCAAGCCUGAACGAGCAAUGCCGCGUGAACGAGGAAGGUCUUCGGAUCGUAAAGUUCUGUUGAAGGGGAAAAAGAGCGGAGAGAGGAAAUGAACUCCGAUUGAUAUUACCCUUCGAGGAAGUCACGGCUAACUACGUGCCAGCAGCCGCGGUAAUACAUAGGUGGCGAGCGUUAUCCGGAAUGAUUGGGCGUAAAGGGUGCGUAGGCGGCCUGCUAAGUCUGGAGUGAAAGGUACCGGCUCAACCGGUACAGGCUCUGGAAACUGGCGGGCUAGAGAGCAGGAGAGGGCGGUGGAACUCCAUGUGUAGCGGUAAAAUGCGUAGAUAUAUGGAAGAACACCAGUGGCGAAGGCGGCCGCCUGGCCUGUUACUGACGCUGAGGCACGAAAGCGUGGGGAGCAAAUAGGAUUAGAUACCCUAGUAGUCCACGCCGUAAACGAUGAGGACCAAGUGUUGGGGAAGACCCAGUGCUGCAGUUAACGCAGUGAGUCCUCCGCCUGGGGAGUAUGCACGCAAGUGUGAAACUCAAAGGAAUUGACGGGGGCCCGCACAAGCGGUGGAGUAUGUGGUUUAAUUCGAAGCAACGCGAAGAACCUUACCAGGCCUUGACAUAGGGUGCGAAGCUAUGGAGACAUAGUGGAGGUAAACAUCCAUACAGGUGGUGCAUGGUUGUCGUCAGCUCGUGUCGUGAGAUGUUCAGUUAAGUCUGGCAACGAGCGCAACCCUCGUGAUGUGUUACCAAUAUCGAGUUAGGGACUCACAUCAGACUGCCGGUGAGAAACCGGAGGAAGGCGGGGAUGACGUCAAAUCAUCAUGCCCCUUAUGGCCUGGGCUACACACGUACUACAAUGGCGGCGACAGAGGGCAGCGAGCCUGCGAAGGCAAGCGAAUCCCCAAAAAGCCGUCCCAGUUCGGAUUGGAGUCUGCAACCCGACUCCAUGAAGUUGGAAUCGCUAGUAAUCGCGGAUCAGCAUGCCGCGGUGAAUACGUUCUCGGGCCUUGCACACACCGCCCGUCA
rnacentral:rRNA from 1 species